rnacentral:rRNA from 1 species
AAAACAUGUCUUUUUGGUUAUUUAAUAUAAAGUCUGACCUGCCCACUGAAUUUAAUUUUGAAGGGCCGCAGUAUUUUGACUGUGCAAAGGUAGCAUAAUCAUUAGUCUUUUAAUUGAAGGCUGGUAUGAAUGGUUGGAUGAGGUACAAGCUGUGUCAUAAAAAUUAAUAUUUGAAUUUAACUUUUUAGUCAAAAGGCUAAAAUUUAAUUGAAAGACGAGAAGACCCUAUAGAGCUUUAUAUAAUGAUUAUUUAAUUUAUUAAGAUUUAUUAAAUUUAAUUAUUUUAUUGUAUUUUGUUGGGGUGACAAUAAAAUUUAAAAAACUUUUAUUAUUAUUUUACAUUUAUUUAUGAUUUUAUGAUCCAGUUUUAUUGAUUAUAAAUUUAAGUUACCUUAGGGAUAACAGCGUAAUUUUUUUUGAGAGUUCAUAUCGACAAAAAAGAUUGCGACCUCGAUGUUGGAUUAAGAGUAAUUU